AAUGAACGUUGGCGGCGUGGAUUAGGCAUGCAAGUCGAGCGAGAACCGUAGCAAUACGGGGACAGCGGCGAAAGGGACAGUAAUGUGUAGGUACCUACCCCUGGGUUCGGGAUAGCUGCGGGAAACUGCAGGUAAUACCGAAUAAUGUCUCCGGACCAAAGGUGUGAUUCCACCUGGGGAGGGGCCUGCAUCCUAUUAGCUUGUUGGCGGGGUGACGGCCCACCAAGGCAACGAUGGGUAGCGGGUGUGAGAGCACGACCCGCGUCAUUGGGACUGAGGUACUGCCCAGACACCGACGGGUGGCUGCAGGCGAGGAUCUGCGGCAAUGGGCGAAAGCCUGACCGAGCGACGCCGCGUGCGGGAUGAAGGCCUUCGGGUUGUAAACCGCUGUCGUAGAGGAGGAAAUGCAGGGGGGUUCUCCCCUUUGCUUGACCUAUUCUAGGAGGAAGUACGGGCUAAGUUCGUGCCAGCAGCCGCAGUAA
rnacentral:rRNA from 1 species